CGCGCAGCCACAGCGAGCCCGGCCGCCCGCACUGGGCCGCCUCGUUCCUCCGCCGGCGGGUGCUGCUGCUGGGAGCGGCGCUGCGGAGCAGCCGGGGGGCGGAAGGAGCGGAGCGAGCCCUCUGCUGGCUGCUGCGCAGGACUAACAACAGUACCUCUUAACCUGCCACAGCCGGAAUGUGUGACAGAGACAGAAUUGGGGACACAAAAAUAUUCAUACAGGAGUAGAAGGGAUUUUAAUGUCUGAAGAGGGAGAGAAAUGAAUCAGCAAAUCAUCCUGGAGAUGGAAGACGGACACUGUACAGCAAGAGCAAACCUCAGAGCAGGGAGGCCAACGCUGGAGUGAAGGUUAUCCAGCAAGUUCUUCGCCUUAUGUUCUGAUUUGCCUCCCCCAGUCUACCAGCAGCGGCCAGGUGGAGAAGGAAUUUCAGGUACUUACAUGCCACCAAAAACCUAUCUGGAAGGACAAUCUCUCACAGUACAGGAGUGCUGUAGAACUGCCCAUCCAAUUCUUGGAAAAGACUAUCUGCAGAGGUAGGAGGGUGAAAAUCCAAUCUGGGCUUUGUGCUGUGGGUAGCUGAUCUCUCUCUUGUAAGGGAGAGCAAGGAAGGAACUGAUCAAGACUGGCAGAAAGUCCCUAAAAAUGUGUGUGUGGGGGGGCCACUGGCACCCGAACUGUGGGCCUGUCCCCAUGCUGCCCCUGCACCCAUGCCAACCCUUCCCCCUGAGGCCCCAGCUCCUGCUCGCUCCUGUCUGUUGGUAAAAAGUGGGAGGACCAUGGCCCCUUGCUCCUCCCCCCCGCCCCCCAUUCUGGCUUCCCUGGAACUGAUCCAAAGGACAGUUAGCUUGUAAAACUUUUUUUUUUCUUUUUUUAAAUGGAGACCUCCCUCUUGGGGAAACCAGUGAUAUCUCCAAAUGUGGCUCCUACACAGCAA